CAGAACACACAAGCACUUCCUAGACCAGGAUGAAUAAGUUUGUUUUAAAAGGUAGAGCAAAUAGCCCUGUUUUGAGCUUGGACUUUAGAUAAAACAAGAACUAUGGCUGAUUCCAGACCCCAGAGCCAGCUUCCAACCUUGUCCCUUGCUUCACUUUGCCCCUCAGUUUUUUCUUGUCAUUUUUUCCACCCCAGCUAGGGUCCUUCAAAGACUGCCUGGGUGCCCUGAGCAAAGCCAGUUGGGCCUAUAGUAUCAGGAUUCUCUCUGCUGUUACCCUCCCAUCUGUGGCUGCGUAGAAAGUGAUUUGUUCAUUUUUUAUAAGGAAGGGCAUUGAGUCCUGUUGGGUCAUUGCACGUGGUGGCAGGACUCUGUUUCUCCGUGGUUACAGCGCUUGAGUGAAAACCGCUUUCAGCCCAGUCCACUGAAGUUGUUCUCCUGAGUCCCGGGAGGCCAGUGAUGUAAUCAAAGAGUUCCAAUUGCUUUCAGGUCCUGCCAUUGGCUUGUUUCCCUGGGCUCGAGUCACCCACGAUGAAAAAGAAUAAUGUUCAAAUUUGAGGGAAUGAUCUGGAAUUCACACUUCUUUGCAGGCCACGUUUGUGUGCCGUUAACUACAAGUGUGAAGGUUUAUGAGGGCUAUGACGGAUGCUGGUGCUCUUACAAAGAAUAUGUGCAAGACUUGACCCCACACUCUUGCUGUCUGAUGCACCUAUUCAAACUAUCAGCCAGGAAACCACAUGCUUUGUCUUCUCCUUUGUGCCAGGAAUGAGUCCUGAUUUCCCAGUUACUAUCUGAAGUAUUAACAACUUUUAAAAGCUACAGGAAAAAGAUGAGGAAGAAGUGUUAGCUAUCAUUUGUUCUGAGCCAGCACUGGACAGAUGUGGGAAAUUUCCAUAGAGUGGAUGAAAAGUUCACUUGGCAGAGAAAUCAUUGUCCCCUCCCUGUGUCUCUCCUUUUACUUUGAUUGAUUCAAAAUAUUGUUACUGUAAAAUUAUUCAUAAUUUUACUGUUACUAUAAAAUUAUUCAGAAUAUUACUAUAAAAUUAUUCAAAAGAUUGUUAUAAAAUUAUUCAAAAUUUUUACUGUUACUGUAAAACUAUUCAAAAUCUCAUGACAAUAAAACUCCCUGAAUUUGUAGACUAUUAAAGUGAUCUCCACCAUA
rnacentral:lncRNA from 1 species